rnacentral:misc_RNA from 1 species
UUGUUGAGAAAUUGCAACUUGUAUCAGCACCGUCUAUCAUUGAAAAUGGUGGUCAAAAGGGCAGUUGUGAGGCCUCUCCUUAUGAAGAUGAGAAAAUUGAUAAAUCAAAAGGUUCUGAUGAGUGGGAGGAAUCUCAAACAUUUAUAGUAGCAUUGGAAAGAGUUGAAGCUUGGAUCUUCUCACGAAUUGUUGAGUCGGUUUGGUGGCAGACUCUGACUCCUCAUAUGCAGCCCACAGCAGUGAAGGGCUCAAAUUCAAAGAAGACCUAUGCUAGGAGGUAUGGAUUGGGUGACCAAGAACAGGGGAAUUUUGCUAUUGAUCUAUGGAAAAAGGCUUUUAAGGAUGCGUGUGAAAGGCUGUGCCCAAUUCGAUCUGGGGGACAUGAAUGCGGUUGCUUGCCUGUGCUCGCUAGAUUGGUAAUGGAGCAGCUGGUGCAUAGAUUAGAUGUGGCCAUGUUCAAUGCCAUUCUUCGUGAAUCAGCAGACGAGAUGCCAACAGAUCCUGUUUCUGACCCCAUUAGUGAUCCAAAGGUCCUCCCAAUACCAGCUGGAAAAUCAAGCUUUGGGGCUGGCGCACAACUGAAAAAUGCUGUAGGAACCUGGUCCAGAUGGCUCACAGAUUUAUUUGGAAUUGAUGAUAAUGACUCUCUGGAAGAUGCGAAUGAACUUGACAGCAACAAGACAGAAUGUGAGACUUCAUUCAAGGCUUUCUACCUCCUUAAUGCAUUGAGUGAUCUCAUGAUGCUUCCAUUUGAAAUGCUUGUGGAUAGGUCAACAAGAAAAGAAGUAUGUCCUAUAUUUGGUGCGCGGAUCAUUGAGAGAGUGCUUAACAAUUUUGUCCCAGAUGAAUUCAACCCAGACCCUCUCCCAGAGGCAAUCUUCGAGUCCCUGGACUCUGAGGACCUUGCUGAGGAUGUGACUGAAUCCAUCUCAAGCUUUCCAUGCAUGGCCGCUCCUACAAUCUAUUCUCCGCCACCAGCAGCUUCACUAACAAACGUUAUAGGAGAGGUGGAAAAUCAAACACUGCAGAGGAGUGGAUCAACCGUGCUCAGAAAAUCUUACACUAGUGAUGAUGAACUUGAUGAGUUGGAUUCACCAAUGACUUCGAUCAUUAUUGACAAUUCCAGGACUUCUGCUCCAACAGCAUCAAAUUGGAUGCCAAAAAGUAAUGGAGGCCGGAAGGUCAUUAGGUAUCAACUCCUCCGGCAAGUAUGGAAGGAUGGUGAAUAGCUUUGUUCGUUACCCUGCCUCACCUUACUCUUCUCCUCCUCCGCGCCAGCCCGCCCCCCCCCCAACCCCCCC